rnacentral:rRNA from 1 species
GAUCAUGGCUCAGAUUGAACGCUGGCGGCAGGCUUAACACAUGCAAGUCGAACGGUAACAGGAGAAAGCUUGCUUUCUUGCUGACGAGUGGCGGACGGGUGAGUAAUGCUUGGGAAUCUGGCUUAUGGAGGGGGGAUAACGACGGGAAACUGUCGCUAAUACCGCGUAGAGUCGAGAGACGAAAGUGGGGGACCGCAAGGCCGCAUGCCAUAGGAUGAGCCCAAGUGGGAUUAGGUAGUUGGUGGGG